CAGUCGCCACGGUAAUACGAAGGGUGCAAGCGUUACUCGGAAUUACUGGGCGUAAAGCGUGCGUAGGCGGCUUUUUAAGUCGGAUGUGAAAUCCCUGAGCUUAACUUAGGAAUUGCAUUCGAUACUGGGAAGCUAGAGUAUGGGAGAGGAUGGUAGAAUUCCAGGUGUAGCGGUGAAAUGCGUAGAGAUCUGGAGGAAUACCGAUGGCGAAGGCAGCCAUCUGGCCUAAUACUGACGCUGAGGUACGAAAGCAUGGGGAGCAAACAGGAUUAGAUACCCCCGUAGUCCCUGUCUCUUAUAC
rnacentral:rRNA from 1 species